rnacentral:misc_RNA from 1 species
GUGAAUCAUCAAAUCUUUGAACGCAAAUUGCACUCUCUGGUAUUCCGGAGAGUAUGCCUGUUUGAGGGUCAGUUUAAAUAAAAAUCGGUGUGGUUGCUGCCUUUCGUGGUGACGCACCGGAUUUGGGUCGUCUUGCCUUCGGUUAAGUGACCUAAAAUUUUGCAUGAUUUUUUUGGAAGGAAUUAAAUUGUUUUACGGACGGUUGCGAUUACGAAUA